GUAAAAGCCUUUUUAAAGUACUUUAACAAAAGGCAUGUGAAUUUCAUUACACCUUCUGAUGGAGUGCUUUUAAAAGGCCUUUUUU
rnacentral:pre_miRNA from 12 species